CGCGCGGAGAAUGGAUUCAUAAUUGUUCUGUCAUCACUGCCUUCUACUUGAUCCAGGUUAACUGAUCAGAUUUACAAUCAGAAUUCAUCAGAGUACAUUUUCUUCCAGAGAGCAUGAUUAAAAAAGAAUUUGUACAGAAAUAUACACAGGCGACCACUUUGAGGACAACAGCAAUUAGCUGCCUCAAUGAGCUUAAAAACUUCACUCCAGAUUGCAAUGUUCAUAAGAGGUUUCCAUGUUAGCAUAUGAAACACCACCUCUUUCUACUGUACAACAUUAUAGCAACUUUGGCUGGUAAAAAUGGGUAAUC
rnacentral:misc_RNA from 1 species